CCUACGGGAGGCAGCAGUGGGGAAUAUUGGACAAUGGGCGAAAGCCUGAUCCAGCAAUGCCGCGUGAGUGAUGAAGGCCUUCGGGUCGUAAAGCUCUUUUACCAGGGAUGAUAAUGACAGUACCUGGAGAAUAAGCUCCGGCUAACUCCGUGCCAGCAGCCGCGGUAAUACGGAGGGAGCUAGCGUUGUUCGGAAUUACUGGGCGUAAAGAGUACGUAGGCGGUUAUUCAAGUCAGAGGUGAAAGCCCGGGGCUCAACCCCGGAACUGCCUUUGAAACUAGAUAACUAGAGUCUUGGAGAGGUUAGUGGAAUUCCGAGUGUAGAGGUGAAAUUCGUAGAUAUUCGGAAGAACACCAGUGGCGAAGGCGACUAACUGGACAAGUACUGACGCUGAGGUACGAAAGCGUGGGGAGCAAACAGGAUUAGAUACCCUGGUAGUCCACGCCGUAAACGAUGAUAACUAGUUGUUCGGUCACUUGGUGACUGAGUGACGCAGCUAACGCAUUAAGUUAUCCGCCUGGGGAGUACGGGUCGCAAGAUUAAAACUCAAAGGAAUUGACGG
rnacentral:rRNA from 1 species